UACGUAGGGGGCAAGCGUUGUCCGGAAUCAUUGGGCGUAAAGCGCGUGUAGGCGGUUCGGUAAGUCUGCUGUGAAAGUCCAGGGCUCAACCCUGGGAUGCCGGUGGAUACUGUCGGACUAGAGUACGGAAGAGGCGAGUGGAAUUCCCGGUGUAGCGGUGAAAUGCGCAGAUAUCGGGAGGAACACCAAUGGCGAAGGCAGCUCGCUGGGACGGUACUGACGCUGAGACGCGAAAGCGUGGGGAGCGAACAGG
rnacentral:rRNA from 1 species